AGCGGCGUACGGGUGAGUAACACGUGGGUGAUCUACCUCUGGGUGGGGAAUAACGCUGGGAAGCCGGCGCUAAUACCGCAUAAGCCAGUCUCUUGGAAGGGACCUGGGAAAGGAGCAAUCCGCCGGGAGAGGAGCCCGCGGCCGAUUAGUUAGAUGGCGGGGUAACAGCCCACCAUGACUGAGAUCGGUAGCCGGCCUGAGAGGGCACACGGCCACACUGGCACUGAAACACGGGCCAGACUCCUACGGGAGGCAGCAGUGGGGAAUCUUGCACAAUGGGGGAAACCCUGGUGCAGCGACGCCGCGUGAGCGAUGAAGCCCUUCGGGGUGUAAAGCUCUUUCGGCAGGGACGAUUAUGACGGUACCUGCAGAAGCAGCUGCGGCUAACUACGUGCCAGCAGCCGCGGUAAUACGUAGGCAGCAAGCGUUGUUCGGAAUUACUGGGCGUAAAGGGUGUGUAGGCGGUUUGGUAAGUCUGGUGUGAAAUCUCCCGGCUCAACUGGGAGGGUGCGCCGGAAACUGCCGGGCUUGGAGUGCGGGAGAGGAGAGUGGAAUUCCUGGUGUAGCGGUGAAAUGCGUAGAUAUCAGGAGGAACGCCGGUGGUGUAUACGGCUCUCUGCACCNUAACUGACGCUGAGACACGAAAGCGUGGGGAGCAAACAGGAUUAGAUACCCUGGUAGUCCACGCCCUAAACGAUGCACAUUUGGUGUGGGCAGUUCAGUCUGUCCGUGCCGGAGCUAACGCGUUAAAUGUGCCGCCUGGGGAGUACAGUCGCAAGGCUGAGACUCAAAGGAAUUGACGGGGGCCCGCACAAGCGGUGGAGCAUGUGGUUCAAUUCGACGCAACGCGAAGAACCUUACCUGGGCUCGAACGGCCGGCCAACGGCGGUGGAAACAUCGCUACCCCGCAAGGGGGUCCGGUCGAGGUGCUGCAUGGCUGUCGUCAGCUCGUGUCGUGAGAUGUUGGGUUAAGUCCCGCAACGAGCGCAACCCUCGUCCUGUGUUGCCACUCCGCAAGGAAGCACUCGCAGGAGACCGCCAGCGAUAAGCUGGAGGAAGGUGGGGAUGACGUCAAGUCCUCAUGGCCUUUAUGUCCAGGGCUACACACGUGCUACAAUGGCCGGUACAACGCGAAGCCAACCCGCGAGGGGGAGCCAAUCGCAAAAAACCGGUCUCAGUUCGGAUUGCAGGCUGCAACCCGCCUGCAUGAAGCUGGAAUCGCUAGUAAUGGCAGAUCAGCACGCUGCCGUGAAUACGUUCCCGGGCCUUGUACACACCGCCCGUCACAUCACGAAAGUGGGUUGUACUAGAAGCCCGCAGGCCAACCCGC
rnacentral:rRNA from 1 species